rnacentral:rRNA from 1 species
UACGGAGGGUGCAAGCGUUGUUCGGAUUUAUUGGGCGUAAAGAGCUCGUAGGCGGCUUGUCGCGUCGUCCGUGAAAACUUGGGGCUCAACCCCAAGCUUGCGGUCGAUACGGGCAGGCUAGAGUUCGGUAGGGGAGACUGGAAUUCCUGGUGUAGCGGUGAAAUGCGCAGAUAUCAGGAGGAACACCGGUGGCGAAGGCGGGUCUCUGGGCCGAUACUGACGCUGAGGAGCGAAAGCGUGGGGAGCGAACAGG